UUGGAGGGCAAGUCUGGUGCCAGCAGCCGCGGUAAUUCCAGAUCCAAUAGCGUAUAUUAAAGUUGUUGCAGUUAAAAAGCUCGUAGUUGAAUUUCGGAAUUCAUCCGUCGGUCGGGCUUAACUGUCCGCACUGAUGUGAUGGGUUCCUACCGGCAUGCCAUUAAUUUGGUGCGCCGGGGAAGCAGGACUGUUACCUUGAAAAAAUUAGAGUGCUCAAAGCAGGCUAUCGCCUGAAUACAUUUGCAUGGAAUAAUGAAAUGGGACGGCAUGGUUCUAUUUUGUUGGUUUCUAGGAUCACCGUAAUGAUUAAUAGGGAUAGUUGGGGGCAUUAGUAUUCAAUUGUCAGAGGUGAAAUUCUUGGAUUUAUUGAAGACUAACUUCUGCGAAAGCAUUUUUCAAGGAUGUUUUCAUUAAUCAAGAACGAAAGUUAGGGGAUCGAGGACGAUCAGAUAUCGUCGUAGUCUUAACCAUAAACUAUGCCAACUAGGGAUCGGACGAUGUUAAUUUUUUAAUGACUCAUUCGGCGCCUAC
rnacentral:rRNA from 1 species